UUGUCUGUUUGUUUUUCUGCCUUUCUGCCUCACCUUGCGACGUCGUUUCGGUUUUGCAUCGUGCACAAAUAUUAAUCCAAGACAACAUUUUCAAAACGACUUGUCUACUUAUAAGUCGUUUUGAAAAUUUUGUCUUGAAUCCGUAUCGAAAACAUUACAUGAGCGUGAGUUCGACCGUUUUGGUGCCAUCAAAAAGAUCGAAUAUAACAAAGGGGACACCCAGGCCUACAUUCUGUACGAUUAUAUUGAUGCUGCUACGGCUGCUGUGAAGGAAAUGCGUAUGCACCGAUUCACGAGCAGCUACCGAAGGCCGCCAUCAAGCACUGUCGACGUUUACCCUGUCACCAAAAUAGCGGCUCCGGUAAUGUAGUUGUUCCCUCGUCGAAUCGGGUUGCGAAAUGCUGGAACCGAUACUAACCGUCAAGUCGGAAAGCCCCAGGAAAACGAGGACGGAAUCUCGGGCCACUGGAAGGGAAGACCAGUCACCCCCGCCAGCCAACGAUAGGUCCCUCCAUCAGGACAAUCCAACAAACUGAUUCUUCAUGCAUCCACCGAAGGCCGCAUAAACUGCCGUCAUCCGGUACUGGCUCGACUUUUCCCCUGUCACUAUUCCUAGCGGUUCCGUCGUCGGCUAGGUUGCGGAAUGUUUAUUCUGCUGCAGGUCAAUGAAAAAGGCAAACCUCCGCAACCAAAAAAAAACAGCAGGAGACAGAAUCUCGUGUGACGGAACGAUUGCCGUAAGCUUGAGAACCGGGUGGAAACGGAUCUACUCGCAUCUACUCGAGGAACUCGACUUUAAGGGCCGGAUGGAACUGUACUCCCAGUCUGGUAAAUCCGUGAAGUUAUCAAGCGCUAGAACACUUGGACACUGCGGAAGGUGGCCCUCGUCGUAGGAGUCUGGCGAGCAACGAAAGGAGUCAAGCAGAAUAUAUUGAGCACGAUUAUGCUGGUACCACCAACGUAUUCAUCAUUGGUUAUACGCAACCACCGGACGACAGUAGCAAUGGACAUUAGUGCACACAAUUAUCACAUGGAUUACAACCGCUACGUAGACUGACCGAUACACCACCAGCACAACUAUCGCAAUAAUGUUAACGGCGGUUAUGAAAUGAUGAACAGCAAGGAUAUGGCACUGGACUUCGGUACUGUUCAAGACACACAAUGAGCAUAUAAAUGCAAUAAUUAUUUUUAAAUAAAUAUGUGAAUUUAAUUGAAAUUGAAAAUGCACAAAUCUUGUUAUUUCGAAAGUUUCAU